GUGGAUAGUGGAGUGUUUCCCAUGUGGUAUUGGUGUGCUGGAUAUCCCUUCACUGGUAGCCUGGCCACAUACACUCCCAGGUCUUUCUCUGCCUCUGUGGUGGAUAGUGGAGUGUUUCCCAUGUGGUAUUGGUGUGCUGGAUAUCCCUUCACUGGUAGCCUGGUAACAUACACUCUCAGGUCUUUCUCUGCCUCUGUGGUGGAUAGUGGAGUGUUUCCCAUGUGGUAUUGGUGUGCUGGAUAUCCCUUCACUGGUAGCCUGGUAACAUAAACUCCCAGGUCUUUCUCUGCCUCUGUGGUGGAUAGUGGAGUGUUUCCCAUGUGGUAUUGGUGUGCUGGAUAUCCCUUCACUGGUAGCCUGGUAACAUACACUCCCAGGUCUUUCUCUGCCUCUGUGGUGGAUAGUGGAGUGUUUCCCAUGUGGUAUUGGUGUGCUGGAUAUCCCUUCACUGGUAGCCUGAUAACAUACACUCCCAGGUCUUUCUCUGCCUCUGUGGUGGAUAGUGGAGUGUUUCCCAUGUGGUAUUGGUGUGCUGGAUAUCCCUUCACUGGUAGCCUGGUAACAUACACUCUCAGGUCUUUCUCUGCCUCUGUGGUGGAUAGUGGAGUGUUUCCCAUGUGGUAUUGGUGUGCUUGAUAUCCCUUCACUGGUAGCCUGGUAACAUACACUCCCAGGUCUUUCUCUGCCUCUGUGGUGGAUAGUGGAGUGUUUCCCAUGUGGUAUUGGUGUGCUUGAUAUCCCUUCACUGGUAGCCUGGUAACAUACACUCCCAGGUCUUUCUCUGCCUCUGUGGUGGAUAGUGGAGUGUUUCCCAUGUGGUAUUGGUGUGCUGGAUAUCCCUUCACUGGUAGCCUGGUAACAUACACUCCCAGGUCUUUCUUUGCCUCUGUGGUGGAUAGAGGAGUGUUUCCCA